rnacentral:rRNA from 1 species
GAUGAACGCUGGCGGCGUGCCUAAUACAUGCAAGUCGAGCGAACGGACGAGAAGCUUGCUUCUCUGAUGUUAUCGGCGGACGUGUGAGUAACACGUGUAUAACCUACCUAUAAGACUGGGAUAACUUCGGGAAACCGGAUCUAAUACCAUAUAAUAUUUUGAACCGCAUGGUUCAAAAAUAAAAUACGGUCUUGCUAUCACUUAUAGAUGGAUCGGCGCUGCAUUAGCUAGUUGGUAUGGUAACGGCUUACAAAGGCAACGUUGCAUAGCCGACCUGAGAGGGUGACCGGCAACACUGGAAUGGAGAAACGGUCAAGACUCCUAGGGGAGGAAGAAGUAGGGAAUCUUCCGAAAUGGGCGAAAGCUUGACGGAGCAACGCCGCGUGAGUGAUGAAGGUCUUCGGAUCGUAAAACUCUGUUAUUAGGGAAGACCAUAUGUGUAAGUAACUGUGCACACCUUGACGGUACCUAAUCAGAAAGCCACGGCUAACUACGUG